rnacentral:rRNA from 1 species
GACGAACGCUGGCGGCGUGCCUAAUACAUGCAAGUCGAACGCAGUGGGGACGGGUGAGUAACACGUGGCUAACCUGCCAUCAGAGGGGAUAACACGUGGAAACAGGUGCUAAACCCCUACUGAUGGAUGUACCCGCGGUGCAUUAGCUAGUUGGUGGGGUAACGGCUCACCAAGGCCACGAUGCAUAGCGGACCUGAGAGGGUGAUCGGCCACACUGGGACUGAGACACGGCCCAGACUCCUACGGGAGGCAGCAGUAGGGAAUAUUCGGCAAUGGACGAAAGUCUGACCGAGCAACGCCGCGUGAGUGAAGAAGGUUUUCGGAUCGUAAAACUCUGUUGUUAGAGAAGCGGUAUCUAACCAGAAAGCCACGGCUAACUACGUGCCAGCAGCCGCGGUAAUUC